GAUGAACGCUUGGCGGCGUGCCUAAUACAUGCAAGUCGAACGAGUUCUGAUUAUUGAAAGGUGCUUGCAUCUUGAUUUAAUUUUGAACGAGUGGCGGACGGGUGAGUAACACGUGGGUAACCUGCCCUUAAGUGGGGGAUAACAUUUGGAAACAGAUGCUAAUACCGCAUAAAUCCAAGAACCGCAUGGUUCUUGGCUGAAAGAUGGCGCAAGCUAUCGCUUUUGGAUGGACCCGCGGCGUAUUAGCUAGUUGGUGAGGUAACGGCUCACCAAGGCAAUGAUACGUAGCCGAACUGAGAGGUUGAUCGGCCACAUUGGGACUGAGACACGGCCCAAACUCCUACGGGAGGCAGCAGUAGGGAAUCUUCCACAAUGGACGCAAGUCUGAUGGAGCAACGCCGCGUGAGUGAAGAAGGCUUUCGGGUCGUAAAACUCUGUUGUUGGAGAAGAAUGGUCGGCAGAGUAACUGUUGUCGGCGUGACGGUAUCCAACCAGAAAGCCACGGCUAACUACGUGCCAGCAGCCGCGGUAAUACGUAGGUGGCAAGCGUUAUCCGGAUUUAUUGGGCGUAAAGCGAGCGCAGGCGGUUUUUUAAGUCUGAUGUGAAAGCCCUCGGCUUAACCGAGGAAGUGCAUCGGAAACUGGGAAACUUGAGUGCAGAAGAGGACAGUGGAACUCCAUGUGUAGCGGUGAAAUGCGUAGAUAUAUGGAAGAACACCAGUGGCGAAGGCGGC
rnacentral:rRNA from 1 species